CAGCAGCCACGGUAAUACGAAGGGGGCUAGCGUUGCUCGGAAUUACUGGGCGUAAAGGGAGCGUAGGCGGACUGUUUAGUCAGAGGUGAAAGCCCAGGGCUCAACCUUGGAAUUGCCUUUGAUACUGGCAGUCUUGAGUACGGAAGAGGUAUGUGGAACUCCGAGUGUAGAGGUGAAAUUCGUAGAUAUUCGGAAGAACACCAGUGGCGAAGGCGACAUACUGGUCCGUUACUGACGCUGAGGCUCGAAAGCGUGGGGAGCAAACAGGAUUAGAUACCCCAGUAGUCCCUGUCUCUUAUAC
rnacentral:rRNA from 1 species